rnacentral:rRNA from 1 species
GUGAAAUUGUGAAAGGGAAGCGCUUGCAACCAGACCUGCCUGCAGUUGCUCAUCCGGGCUUUUGCCCGGUGCACUCUUCUGCUGUCAGGCCAGCAUCAGUUCGGGCGGUCGGAUAAAGGCUUCGGGAAUGUAGCUCCUCUCGAGGAGUGUUAUAGCCCGUUGCGAAAUGCGGCCAGCCUGAACUGAGGUCCGCGCUUCGGCUAGGAUGCUGGCGUAAUGGUUGUAAGCGGCCCGUCUUGAAACACGGACCAAGGAGUCUAACAUCUGUGCGAGUGUUUGGGUGUCAAACCCGUACGCGUAAUGAAAGUGAACGGAGGCGGGAACCCCUCGGGGUGCACCGUCGACCGAUCCUGAUGUCUUCGGAUGGAUUUGAGUAAGAGCAUAGCUGUUGGGACCCGAAAGAUGGUGAACUAUGCCUGAAUAGGGUGAAGCCAGAGGAAACUCUGGUGGAGGCUCGCAGCGGUUCUGACGUGCAAAUCGAUCGUCAAAUUUGGGCAUAGGGGCGAAAGACUAAUCGAACUAUCUAGUAGCUGGUUCCUGCCGAAGUUUCCCUCAGGAUAGCAGUAACGUUUUCAGUUUUAUGAGGUAAAGCGAAUGAUUAGAGGCCUGGGGGUUGAAACAACCUUCACCUAUUCUCAAACUUUAAAUAUGUAAGAAGUCCUUGUUGCUUAGUUGAACGUGGACAUUUGAAUGUAUCGUUACUAGUGGGCCAUUUUUGGUAAGCAGAACUGGCGAUGCGGGAUGAACCGAACGCGGAGUUAAGGUGCCGGAAUGCACGCUCAUCAGACACCACAAAAGGUGUUAGUUCAUCUAG